CCUCCCGAGGUUUCUUCCUCUGUGCUCGUCCUUGCGAUUUGGCGAGGAGCUCCUCCGACGGGGCGAAGGUCGUCCCCGACAUCUUCGUCGUCGGUAAAGGUCGAGACAGAAUUUUCCGGUCUGUAUGUAACCUGGGCUGCCGAGCUGACUCGAGCCCUCUUGUUUCUUCGUUCUCAAUCUGGGUUUGCCUCCUCGCGGCCAUCUGCCGUUUUCCCAUGAUGUUCUUCUUCUGGAAUCCAUUUGCCUUUUGAGAGAACCGGGAUGCUGCCGCGUGCUGUGCUUCUCGGUUCCGUUGCGGGCAGAAAUCCAUAGUCUCCCAGGUGCUCAUCUUCUGCGAUCCAAAACAAUCCCUGUUUCAGAUCUCAUGCACCAGGAGCACAUUGGGAUCUCUUCACCAAGCGGUCGUACUCGUGUUCAUAUUUAUUUGAUAGAUUUGCUGUUUUUGUUUGCGGCCCGUCCCUGAUUCCCAUGUUGAGCAUAUUUUCUCCGAUAAUCCUGGAGACUUUAUUUUUUUAAUUUUUUUUUUUACAGCGAAAGCAGAUGACACCCGAAGUGUAUCUGCUUAGCUCAUCGUUUUUUUUCUCUUUGUAGUGGUUUCCCUACUGUUAAUAAUGUAGCUGGGUUCCGAACCAUGUUGGAGCUGACCUCAUCUGUCGGCUCCUCUGCGUUGACCAGGGUCGAGUUAAGCUGGUGUGUAACACUGUUGGCUUCAAGAAGCUAUUGGAUUGAGCAGACGUGUAUGCUCAGAUCUGGUGUAAAGUUCUUGGUGGUUCUCCGAUUCUCUUACAGAGUUGACUUGCCUUUUGAGAGAACCGGGAUGCUGCUCUGCGCUGUGCUACCUCGGUUCCGUUGCGGGCAGAGAUCGAAACUUUCUUGGGUGCUCUCUGUCUGUGACUGUUAGCCCAGGCUGCCCCUGCCGCGGCUCUGAUUCACCCAGAUAAGAACAUAAAAGUCAAACCUUUCCGCACCAGCUUCAUAGUUUGGACGCCAGUAUC
rnacentral:lncRNA from 1 species